GUUAUCCUCAGGAAGCCCUGAGCGCUGAGAGGCACUGUUACAGAACCGAACUGGGGUCCACUCGCUAGGCCUACCUAGGUGCCUGGAAUUUCCCUUCGAGGAACGCAGGAGUUUUCUUUAUUUUCAUGCUUGGGAAGGCUCAUUAGGCCCCUAAGAGAGGGUCCCUUCCCCAUCUCAGGACUAAAAUGCAAUGAAGAUGUUGCUCAGAGGCAGCUGGAGAGGGAUGGGUCUGUGGAGGAUGCCCCGCAGAGUGAAGUCGAGAUGAUGCAGCCACCAGGGCCGGAGGGGAGGGACAUUCCACUUUUUAAAUCAGCUUUCUGAAGCAUGAUCUCCAUAUAAUCACCUAGAAGCGUACAGCACAAUGAUCUUGACAGAUGCCAGCAUCCUUGGAACCACUGCCACCACCAACGUCUCAAACCAUUCCAUCAAACCCAGAACACUCCUGGUGCCCUGAAGCGUCUCCCUUCAGUGGCAGAACCAGCAGAGAUUCAGUGGUCACAAGGCUGGUCUGGAACUCCUGGGUGCAAGCGAUCCUUCCACCUCGGCCUCCCAAAGUGCUGGGAUUAGAGGCAUAAGCCACCGCGCCCAGCCAGGAAUGGAUUUUCUCACAGUUCUCGAUGGCGGAAGUCUGAGAUCAAGGUCUUGGCAGGGCUAGGUCUCUCUGAGGCCUUUCUCCCCAGCUUAUAGGUCGCCGCCUCCUCUCUCUGUCUUUCCUUGUCUUCCUUGUGUCCACAGUUGUGUCCAAAUUCCCCUUUCUCAUAAGGACGUCAGUCAUGUUGGAUUAGGGCCCUCCCUCCUGACCUUGUUUUAGCUUAAUCUCUGCAACUUAACCCUUAACCUCAGUAAAGAUCCUAUUUCCAAAUGUGUUCACAUUCUGAGGUCCUGAGGAUUAGGACUUUGAAAGGAUUAAAACAGGCUCUUCUGGCAUAUUGACAAUUUCAGCUAAAGACUCUUGAGAAACAGCAGGUGCAAAAAGAUCACAGUGACCUCCAUGCUGUACCUUGAGAUGAAAUUCCAAUGCGAAAGAUGCCCUCUCCACCCUAGAAGGGAAAGCAACAUCCUUAUCUUUGGGAGUGAAAAGUCCAAACUGAGAGCAUACUUGCCUUUCUCUGGAGGGGCUCUGCCAGCAUGAAUUCCUUUACGGGUGGAAGCCUCACAGUCCAGUCUACCAGUGAGGUCCACAUGGGAUUGGCUGGAGGGAGCUACGAAGUCAAGCGGCGUCAGGUACAGAGAAACAAAUCCCACAUCCAAGGGCCAGGAGGCGGUAGAGCAAACCACGCACAGCCGGGUGACUUAAGGGCAAGGAAGUCUUCCUGCAGGAGGUGAAUUUGGCACAAGGGAUACGUUUUUAGGCCCUGAGUGGAGGAUCUGGGUUUCAAACUGGACUUUUGAAAAACACACUCUUAUUGUAGAAGGGCCUGCGGGUUUGUUUUAAUCACUUCUCAAAGCUACGCUAGGCAUUCGCAGCUCAGGAUCCCCAGUUUAGCCUAAUAAAAAAAAGUAAUUACAUCAUAUUACAGAUAAUUUGAUUGUGUCUGAGACGAUAAUUGAGUUAAAACGCUUAUUGUAACAGACACAUCAGAUUGGCAAGGAGGAAGCUCGGCUUAAAUACAAACAGUGUUGAGAGUGGAAUUAAAGGAUUGCCAUUGCAGU
rnacentral:lncRNA from 1 species